rnacentral:rRNA from 1 species
GACGAACGCUGGCGGCGUGCUUAACACAUGCAAGUCGAACGGAAAGGCCCUGCUUUUGUGGGGUGCUCGAGUGGCGAACGGGUGAGUAACACGUGAGUAACCUGCCCUUGACUUUGGGAUAACUUCAGGAAACUGGGGCUAAUACCGGAUAGGAGCUCCUGCUGCAUGGUGGGGGUUGGAAAGUUUCGGCGGUUGGGGAUGGACUCGCGGCUUAUCAGCUUGUUGGUGGGGUAGUGGCUUACCAAGGCUUUGACGGGUAGCCGGCCUGAGAGGGUGACCGGCCACAUUGGGACUGCGAUACGGACCAGACUGCUACGGGAGGCAGCAGUGGGGAAUAUUGCACAAUGGGCGGAAGCCUGAUGCAGCAACGCCGCGUGCGGGAUGACGGCCUUCGGGUUGUAAACCGCUUUCGCCUGUGACGAAGCGUGAGUGACGGUAAUGGGUAAAGAAGCACCGGCUAACUACGUG